GACGACGAUGGCUGGAUGGAAGAGAGCGUCCUUCAGUCCACUCAGGGGCGGUGCUAGGGUCGAAUUAGCUGCCGACUCAUUCACCCACAUGCCAAGCAAACGGCCAUGGAAACCAGCUUUGCAGAUGAGUGAAUGAAGCGGGAGGUAAAAGCUUCGAUCUCGCACCGUCUUUGCUUGGACUGAAGGGUGCUCCCUCCUCCCUCGCUCCUUGUU
rnacentral:pre_miRNA from 1 species